UGGGGAAUCUUGCGCAAUGGGCGAAAGCCUGACGCAGCAACGCCGCGUGAGCGAAGAAGGCCUUCGGGUUGUAAAGCUCUGUCAGGGGGGAAAAAGGCACCUGGGUUAAUAGCCCAAGGGCUGAUGGUACCCCCAAAGGAAGCCACGGCUAACUACGUGCCAGCAGCCGCGGUAAUACGUAGGUGGCGAGCGUUGUCCGGAAUCAUUGGGCGUAAAGAGCGCGUAGGUGGCUUGUCAGGUCCGGUGUGAAAUCCUGGGGCUUAACCCCAGGCCUGCACCGGAAACCGGCUUGCUAGAGUCUGGGAGAGGAGAGUGGAAUUCCUGGUGUAGCGGUGAAAUGCGUAGAUAUCAGGAGGAACACCGGUAGCGAAGGCGGCUCUCUGGAACAGUACUGACACUGAGGCGCGAAAGCUAGGGGAGCAAACAGG
rnacentral:rRNA from 1 species